UACAGAGGUCUCAAGCGUUGUUCGGAUUCAUUGGGCGUAAAAGGGGUGCGUAGGCGGCGCGGUAAGUCGGGUGUGAAAUCUCGGAGCUUAACUCCGAAACUGCAUUCGAUACUGCCGUGCUUGAGGACUGGAGAGGAGACUGGAAUUUACGGUGUAGCGGUGAAAUGCGUAGAUAUCGUAAGGAAGACCAGUGGCGAAGGCGGGUCUCUGGACAGUUCCUGACGCUGAGGCACGAAGGUCAGGGGAGCAAACGGG
rnacentral:rRNA from 1 species